rnacentral:siRNA from 1 species
GGGAUUAUUAUGGUUCGAGAC